CGGGCUGUUCUUCUCCACUAGAGUUGAACGUGGGAACCUAGAACUGCUACAGCUACGGUGGAGCCUGGGGCUGAAGUCAGCAGAGUAGAAUGAUGACAUUGCUCAAGCCUGCAGGACAUCCUUACCUAAAGCCAACCUUAAUAAGAUGGAUUAGAGAAAAAUAUAAACAAGUUUCUACACUUUUCUGCAUCCAAACCUCUUGUAAUUUUGCACAUUCUCUCACUGAGAGCUUCAGGGAUGGAGAUGUUUUCGUACCUCUUGAAUCCAGCUUGUCUCCUGACUUGCUUCAGCCAAUGCAAUGCAGCAGAAGUGAUCGUAUGUGCUAUCGCUCAAUCUCAGAAUCCAGCUGCCAAGCAGCUAAGCCUGGGUGAACCUGUUAGAAGCAGGAAUUUGGAAGAUAUAAGAGGCAUCUCUGACCAUCACAGUAGGUGAAAACAAGCAAGAAGCCCAGAUCCACCUGCCCUUCCUGUCCUCUAGGACUCCAUCCAUUCCUUGCUAUAACUUGCUGCAUUAUUCCUAUAAUUUAUUUUCUUUGAGAAGAAAGAAAGAAAGAAAGAAAGAAAGAAAGAAAGAAAGAAAGAAGAAAAGAAAGACUAAAGUCAGGAGAAAGAAGAUCCUAUUGAGGAUGGAAAAGAGAAAUAUACUCAGUGGCUGGAGAUAACUUCUCUUAGCCCAGAGGUCAGGCUCAUCUCUUUCCCUGAAAGGCUCAAGGCAAAGUCCAAGGUGAUGAAAUGCCAUUCAUGAGAAAAGGAGGACAUGGGCUGAAUUGGGCUAUCUCCUCCAACUAGACAACUGGAGUGGCAUUGCCAAUUGCCCAUUGUCAGAAUGAGGCCCGGAACCAUUCAGACCUUCCUUCCUCAUUAGACUGCAAGUCUGCAGAGUAGAGAAAAUGCCAUAUUGGAAAAUUGGAUGCCAAAGAGAAGACAUUCAGAAGGUGCCUACUGGUGGGAGCUGUGAGCAGAAAAGGCAAAUGGGCCACCAGGAAACCAUAGCAAAAACAGAAACAAAGCCCAGGGCACCCUGGCACAUACUCUGACUUCGAGGAAGGGAAGCAUCAUGUCUGCAAAAGCACCUUCCAGGACUUUCUGGCUUCAGACUGACAGCAAAAACCGUCUUCCAUUCACAACUAACAAAAGUCCUUUUCAGAGUCUCAACUUAGAUUGGGUCUCAUCAUCCAAGGAACAAGUCUUUCUGAUCCCAACCAGGGGUCUCCAGAGGGGACUAUGUCUCCAGCCAGGAACGAGGUGAGAAAGUCAGAAGAAUGCUGGAGGCUCAGGAGUCUCAAGGGGAGCUGAGAAGUUGUGAACAUCCCAUUUUAUGACACUCACGUAGCCAUGAUGAGCUUUGAGGAGAAAACGGGGAAUGUGCAAAACUGACAGCUGCCCUGGAAUCUUCUCCCUGGAAAAUGAGAAAUUCUGUCUUCAUGAGGUAUAAAUUAUGAAUAUCAUGACUAGUGUCCAGAGGUCCAUCUGGAUGUUUCCUCACAAUGGAAGGCUCUCAUCUCAAAUCUUAUCACAUAGCCUCCUCUCCUGCAUUCAGCUUCAUCUCCUCAGAGAGAUCUUCAUGGACCAUCCCCACGAUAGCAGCCCAAGCCACUAGGCAUUCUUCCUCAGGUUUCCCUGUUGAGUUGUUCCAAAACACAAUGCUAUAUGAAAUUCUCCUGUCUACCUGACGGCUCUUUGGCUUGCCUCACUCCUCUGUUGGUAGGAUGUCGACACCCUGAGAGAAGAACAUGGUGCCUCGGACCCCACUCUCUGUAGCACCUGGAAGAGAUUCUUGCUCCUAACAGGCACACGAUUCCAUAUGCCAUCACAUUUAAGAUAAUCCCAAUCAUAAGAUGCAUCAUCACUGUGUACCACAAAGAAAAGGAUACUAAUUAAACUCUGAGCUGACAUAGUAAUGGAGAGAUGCACCCCACUGCAGAGAUGUUAAACUGCGAGAAAAAAGCAUAUCUUAGAUGCAAUGAAAUAUGGCAAUGUUUCAAUAAUGAUGCCCUCAUGUAGAGUUGUGUU